CAUUUGAAACACUCCACCUCCUUAUGAUCACCAAAGUUAAGCAAUGUUGAGCCUGGUCAGUACCUAGGUGGGUGGCCACUUGGGAAUACCAAGUGCUGUAA